rnacentral:rRNA from 1 species
UUAAGAAUAUUCCGCAAUGGCCGAAAGGCUGACGGAGCGACGCCGCGUGUAGGAUGAAGUUCUUCGGGAUGUAAACUACUUUUAUGAGGGAAGAAUAUUUUGACGGUACCUCAUGAAUAAGGGGCUGCUAAUCUCGUGCCAGCAGCAGCGGUAAUACGAGAGCCCCGAGCGUUAUCCGGAAUUAUUGGGCGUAAAGCGUCUGUAGGCUGUUUAUUAAGUCUCGCGUCAAAUCUCUUGGCUCAACCAAGAGUCCGCGCGGGAUACUGGUAGACUUGAGGGUGGAAGAGGCUUGUGGAAUUGCCGGUGUAGCGGUCAAAUGCGUUAAUAUCGGCAGGAACACCAAAUGCGAAGGCAGCAAGCUGGUACACCUCUGACGCUGAGAGACGAAAGCGUGGGGAGC